rfam:Ictidomys tridecemlineatus contig047346, whole genome shotgun sequence.
GGAAAUGUAGCUUGGUGGUAUAGUGCUUGCCUAAGCAUGUGCAAGACCCUGGGUUCAAUUCCCAGUACUGCCU